rnacentral:lncRNA from 1 species
AGGCAUUGAGGCAGCCAGCGCAGGGGCUUCUGCUGAGGGGGCAGGCGGAGCUUGAGGAAACCGCAGAUAAGUUUUUUUCUCUUUGAAAGAUAGAGAUUAAUACAACUACUUAAAAAAUAUAGUCAAUAGGUUACUAAGAUAUUGCUUAGCGUUAAGUUUUUAACGUAAUUUUAAUAGCUUAAGAUUUUAAGAGAAAAUAUGAAGACUUAGAAGAAAAAAAGAAGAUAGAAAAUGAAAAUAUUGUCAAGAGUUUCAGAUAGAAAAUGAAAAACAAGCUAAGACAAGUAUUGGAGAAGUAUAGAAGAUAGAAAAAUAUAAAGCCAAAAAUUGGAUAAAAUAGCACUGAAAAAAUGAGGAAAUUAUUGGUAACCAAUUUAUUUUAAAAGCCCAUCAAUUUAAUUUCUGGUGGUGCAGAAGUUAGAAGGUAAAGCUUGAGAAGAUGAGGGUGUUUACGUAGACCAGAACCAAUUUAGAAGAAUACUUGAAGCUAGAAGGGGAAGUUGGUUAAAAAUCACAUCAAAAAGCUACUAAAAGGACUGGUGUAAUUUAAAAAAAACUAAGGCAGAAGGCUUUUGGAAGAGUUAGAAGAAUUUGGAAGGCCUUAAAUAUAGUAGCUUAGUUUGAAAAAUGUGAAGGACUUUCGUAACGGAAGUAAUUCAAGAUCAAGAGUAAUUACCAACUUAAUGUUUUUGCAUUGGACUUUGAGUUAAGAUUAUUUUUUAAAUCCUGAGGACUAGCAUUAAUUGACAGCUGACCCAGGUGCUACACAGAAGUGGAUUCAGUGAAUCUAGGAAGACAGCAGCAGACAGGAUUCCAGGAACCAGUGUUUGAUGAAGCUAGGACUGAGGAGCAAGCGAGCAGGCGUUGUGCGUAGAGGAUCCUAGACCAGCAUGCCAGUGUGCCAAGGCCACAGGGAAAGCGAGUGGUUGGUAAAAAUCCGUGAGGUCGGCAAUAUGUUGUUUUUCUGGAACUUACUUAUGGUGAUUUAAUAAUAAUUUAAAACUACUAUAGAAACUGCAGAGCAAAGGAAGUGGCUUAAUGAUCCUGAAGGGAUUUCUUCUGAUGGUAGCUUUUGUAUUAUCAAGUAAGAUUCUAUUUUCAGUUGUGUGUAAGCAAGUUUUUUUUUAGUGUAGGAGAAAUACUUUUCCAUUGUUUAACUGCAAAACAAGAUGUUAAGACUUUUUUCAGAUAACAUCUUCUGAGUCAUAACCAGCCUGGCAGUAUGAUGGCCUAGAUGCAGAGAAAACAGCUCCUUGACAGAAACUUUGUCUGCGAACACUCUUUAAUGGACCAGAUCAGGAUUUGAGCGGAAGAACGAAUGUAACUUUAAGGCAGGAAAGACAAAUUUUAUUCUUCAUAAAGUGAUGAGCAUAUAAUAAUUCCAGGCACAUGGCAAUAGAGGCCCUCUAAAUAAGGAAUAAAUAACCUCUUAGACAGGUGGGAGAUUAUGAUCAGAGUAAAAGGUAAUUACACAUUUUAUUUCCAGAAAGUCAGGGGUCUAUAAAUUGACAGUGAUUAGAGUAAUACUUUUUCACAUUUCCAAAGUUUGCAUGUUAACUUUAAAUGCUUACAAUCUUAGAGUGGUAGGCAAUGUUUUACACUAUUGACCUUAUAUAGGGAAGGGAGGGGGUGCCUGUGGGGUUUUAAAGAAUUUUCCUUUGCAGAGGCAUUUCAUCCUUCAUGAAGCCAUUCAGGAUUUUGAAUUGCAUAUGAGUGCUUGGCUCUUCCUUCUGUUCUA